rnacentral:tRNA from 1 species
GUUAUUUUGGCAGAAUAGUGCGUUAGAUUUAGAAUCUUUUUAUGUAAUUUUUACAAAUAAUA